rnacentral:lncRNA from 1 species
UCGGGCGCGAGAGCCAUGGAGGCGCUGAGGGAGUCCGUGCUGCAUUUGGCCUUGCAGAUGUCGACGUACAAGCGGGCCACGCUGGACGAGGAGGACCUGGUGGACUCGCUCUCCGAGGGCGACGCAUACCCCAACGGCCUGCAGUGAACUUCCACAGCCCCCGGAGUGGCCAGAGGUGCUGGGCUGCACGGACCCAGGUGGAGAAGCGGCUGGUGGUGUUGGUGGUACUUCUGGCGGCAGGACUGGUGGCCUGCUUGGCAGCACUGGGCAUCCAGUACCAGACAGAUCCCCCUCUGUGUGCCUGAGCGAAGCUUGUGUCUCAGUGACCAGCUCCAUCUUGAGCUCCAUGGACCCCACAGUGGACCCCUGCCAUGACUUCUUCAGCUACGCCUGUGGGG